UGCAGUCGCACGAGAACGGGUUAAGCUUGCUUUAACUGUCAGCUAAGUGGCGCACGGGUGAGUAAUAUAUAGGUAACAUGCCUUCGAGAAGGGGAUAACGUUUGGAAACGAACGCUAAUACCCUAUAUGCCUUUAAGACUUAAGUCUGCAAGGGAAAUAUUUAUAGCUCGAAGAUUGGCCUGUACAGUAUCAGUUAGUUGGUGAGGUAAUGGCUCACCAAGACAAUGACGCUUAACUGGUUUGAGAGGAUGAUCAGUCACACUGGAACUGAGACACGGUCCAGACUCCUACGGGAGGCAGCAGUGGGGAAUAUUGCACAAUGGACGAAAGUCUGAUGCAGCAACGCCGCGUGGAGGAUGACACAUUUCGGUGCGUAAACUCCUUUUAUAUAGGAAGAUAAUGACGGUACUAUAUGAAUAAGCACCGGCUAACUCCGUGCCAGCAGCCGCGGUAAUACGGAGGGUGCAGGCGUUACUCGGAAUCACUGGGCGUAAAGAGAAUGUAGGCGGGUAGAUAAGUCAGAAGUGAAAUCCAAUAGCUCAACUAUUGAGCUGCUUUUGAAACUGUUUACCUAGAAUAUGGGAGAGGUAGAUGGAAUUUCUGGUGUAGGGGUAAAAUCCGUAGAGAUCAGAAGGAAUACCGAUUGCGAAGGCGAUCUACUGGAACAUUAUUGACGCUGAGAUUCGAAAGCGUG
rnacentral:rRNA from 1 species